GAUGAACGCUGGCGGCGUGCCUAAUACAUGCAAGUCGAGCGAACAGACGAGGAGCUUGCUCCUCUGACGUUAGCGGCGGACGGGUGAGUAACACGUGGAUAACCUACCUAUAAGACUGGGAUAACUUCGGGAAACCGGAGCUAAUACCGGAUAAUAUAUUGAACCGCAUGGUUCAAUAGUGAAAGACGGUUUUGCUGUCACUUAUAGAUGGAUCCGCGCCGCAUUAGCUAGUUGGUAAGGUAACGGCUUACCAAGGCAACGAUGCGUAGCCGACCUGAGAGGGUGAUCGGCCACACUGGAACUGAGACACGGUCCAGACUCCUACGGGAGGCAGCAGUGGGGAAUCUUCCGCAAUGGGCGAAAGCCUGACGGAGCAACGCCGCGUGGGUGAUGAAGGUCUUCGGAUCGUAAAACUCUUUUAUUAGGGAAGAAAAAAUGUGUAAGUAACUAUGCACGUCUUGACGGUACCUAAGCAGAAAGCCACGGCUAACUACGG
rnacentral:rRNA from 1 species